UGCUCCUACAAAAUGUAUAGGGGAUCAUCAAUUUUGCGUUACUAUUGUUGUGAAAAACACGUUACCUUUGCAAGUUGUUUCAUCUUUCCUUGCAGGGUUUUCACCUCUUGACACUUGUCCUCAUACAGACUCUGGACUCUCUCCUUCACACGUUGCUGUGUCUAGAGCAUCUAGGUGACAAAUUUAAAGGAGUGGAUAUCGUUGAAGAUCUGCACCCUGAGGAGUUGACUGCUGACUAGGAUGGUCCUCAUUAUCCUGUGAGCACUCUCUCUUCAAAGAAACCUCUAGAUCCUAAUCAAAAACACUUUGCUUCAUGACACGAGAAAUCUAAUACUCUCA